AUGGCUGAGGAAGCUGUCUGUGAAGACAUUAAGAGACUUGAUUCCAUCAGAGAAAUCAUGCAGGAAAAUGUGAAGAAACAACAGGAGUGCACCCAGCAGAGACUCAAGUUGGGUUCUCCCAAAGCAGACUUUAAAGUUGGGGACCAGGUGUGGAGGCAGAACAAGAGAAGUGAACAAAGGAAGGGGGGCAAACUGGAGCCAAAUUUUCUGGGCCCUUAUAUGAUUUUGCCACUGGAGGGGAAAAGUGCAGACAUACAAGGAGAAAAUGGAACUGUUCACAAAAAAGUAAACACUGACCAUUUAAAAUUAAUGAUUAAAGGCGAUCGUCACAUUCCAUCUCAGAUCAUAAAGAAGGACAUUUCAGCCCAAACGCCAGCAGUCCCAGCAUCAACAUCUAUGUCCACAUCAACUUCCAAAACCCACUGUUAUAUGCUUUGCACCUGCUGCCAAAGUAGCAUCACCACCCCCCCCUGGCACCAUCAUCAGAGACCUGCCAGGUACAACCAGCUGAUGAAGCACCACCGCCACCCCAGGGAGCACCAGCACCAGUCUGGCCAUUACCCCAAGCCGCCCAGGCACCACCAUCAUCAGAGACCUGCCAGGAACCACAUGCCUCACCAUCACCAGCAAAGUAUAAUGCAUAUAACGCAACCUCAGAAAAAGAUCUGCAGGAUGCUUGGGCAGGAAAGAAUGUCCAUGUUCUGCUUUCUAAAGUGGGACCCUAUAAAUUGUUUUCCUGGGACAUUGCAAAAAUUGGUCCUAAGAUGGAACUGGAGAGUGAGGUCAUCAAUGCAUACUUAAGACUGCUGGUGCAGAGAUGCAACAAAGAAAAAGGGCACAAAGCAGCUCUCAUUGAUUCCUACGCCAUGACAGCAAUGUGGGAUCGCAAACUCUCCAGACUGCGGAUGGAUCCAAUGUCAAGUGAGUCAGUGAUUUGGCUAUAAGUCUUUCUAUAUUUCUGAGCUUGGAAAAACACCAUAUCUACAUAUCAGCAUUCUUUAGUAACCUAGACGUUUUUGUAGGAAGAUACAAAAUUUUCAAAAGGAACUGUUUAGUAGCUCUUUCUGUAACACAUGUAUAAUGUUUAUUAAUGUUUGAAAUAUUGUAAUAUUCACACUUUACAAACACAUAGGUUCUAUAUCCACAUGAAAAGAGGUGCCUGUUUUUGGAUCCUUUGGGAGAAAAAGCAGCUGAUCUGAGAAGGUGCCAGGAGACCACAAGGGCCUUCAUGAGGCAGAAGGGCUACAGGAGUUCAAGGUGGUCAUGCGGCACCCUUCCUCAUUCUCUCCAGAGAGAUGCAGUUUCCUGUGGUGUCCUGGCGUUAAAGUUUGCAGAAAAAAAAUUCAAUGGUGAUAAUUUAACGUUUGACGCCUCAGAGAAACAAAUUAACAAAAUGAGGCUGGAUAUAGCCACAACCCUCCUCCAGGAAUCUGAUGAUCUCAGUGGUGUGUGUUACUAUUGUGUUAGUGAGGAAGGAGACACACUAUGGAUUUGCUGUGACAGUUGUGAACGAUGGUUUCACGUAAGCUGUGUUCAGCAUCCUUCGGUGGACGAGGACUCUACUCUUUCUGCUGCGCUGGAGAAGCGACUUUGCCUUUAAAUGGAGCGAUGACGUCAGGGGAGGCAAUCCGUGGCAGGGGGGCAGAUUAGGGCACAACACCUGUUACAUCCAGCGCAGAUACGUACAUAGUCGGGAUUAUUAAUAGUCAGCAUCUGGUCAGGGAAAGUUGGAUUACUACAUGUACAAUAUAAUAAUCUAUACCACAAGUGCGUCUGCUGAGGUGUGGCAUGAAUAAAUGGUGUCCUGUAGUUGUGUUCUGGGCAUACAGCAAUUCUGGAUAUAACGGACUUUGGUAACGGACUGUUACCAAACAGGUCCCUUGACGUCCGUUGUAACUGGAUUUUACUGUAGUAUGAUGUGACGCCACAUAACUGGGAAACUUUGUCUUGUAGCCCCUCAGAGUCAGAAGCAAGAUCCAGCACCAAACACCAGCCAUGAGCCCACAAGUCCAGAGUGGGCAGGCAGGUUUACUCAUUGAGUGAAUAUCAUUAGAAUUAAUAUAAUGAAGAGUAUGGUGUAGACCUGCUCUAUAUGAAAAGUGCCCUGAGAUGCUAGAUGAUUCAGCACUACAUUAAUGACACUGACCUGAAUUGAUCAGAAGGUUUUGUAAAAAGGGGAGAUUUGUGCUGAGAAUUAUGGCCAUUUUUAAAAUGUGAUUCAGUGUCAGAAGCAAAGCCAGGAGACAGUAGUGAUGAGGGGAAUGUUCCUGUCAGUAUGGAAGGAACAGGGGAGCUGUUGUAACAGAGUGUGUGAACAAGCAAGCUUUAGUUCCAAUAUAACCACUUUCUAUGCCCAAACGAUAGUAGUGACCCGUUAUAUUUUUUAUCGUUAAUGGAUAUCUGUGAACACUUCAUUGAACAGAAUAUAGAUUCUGAUAUUGUUGAAAAGGAUGUGUUGUAAAGAAUAAUGUUGGAGA